CGGAUUUGUGUAGGAAUAUCAAAAUAAACACUAGAAUUUGCAAUUUCUGGAGAAAUUGCGUGUGAAGGCGAAGAAGCUGAAUAAAUACUUGGGGAAUGCUGCAGAAUGAUGUUUAAAAUUGGAACAGCUUGAAUAAGUUGAAAACUGUAGACAUUAGAAGGGAAA